AACGAACGCUGGCGGCAGGCCUAACACAUGCAAGUCGAGCGGACAUCUUCGGAUGUUAGCGGCGGACGGGUGAGUAACGCGUGGGAACGUGCCCUUUGCUUCGGAAUAGCCUCGGGAAACUGGGAGUAAUACCGGAUGUACCCUUUGGGGGAAAGAUUUAUCGGCAAAGGAUCGGCCCGCGUUGGAUUAGGUAGUUGGUGGGGUAAUGGCCUACCAAGCCGACGAUCCAUAGCUGGGUUGAGAGGAUGAUCAGCCACACUGGGACUGAGACACGGCCCAGACUCCUACGGGAGGCAGCAGUGGGGAAUCUUAGACAAUGGGGGAAACCCUGAUCUAGCCAUGCCGCGUGAGCGAUGAAGGCCUUAGGGUUGUAAAGCUCUUUCACCGGGGAAGAUAAUGACGGUACCCGGAGAAGAAGCCCCGGCUAACUCCGUG
rnacentral:rRNA from 1 species